rnacentral:rRNA from 1 species
CAGCAGCCGCGGGAAUACGUAGGGUGCAGGCGUUAAUCGGAAUUACUGGGCGUAAAGCGUGCGCAGGCGGUUUGUUAAGACAGAUGUGAAAUCCCCGAGCUUAACUUGGGAACUGCAUUUGAAACUGGCAAGCUAGAGUCUUGUAGAGGGGGGUAGAAUUCCAGGUGUAGCGGUGAAAUGCGUAGAGAUCUGGAGGAAUACCGGUGGCGAAGGCGGCCCCCUGGACAAAGACUGACGCUCAGGUGCGAAAGCGUGGGGAGCAAACAGGAUUAGAGACCCCGGUAGUCCCUGUCUCUUAUAA